rnacentral:rRNA from 1 species
GCCUUAGUAACGGCGAGUGAAGCGGCAACAGCUCAAAUUUGAAAUCUGGCCCCAGGCCCGAGUUGUAAUUUGCAGAGGAUGCUUUUGGCGCGGUGCCUUCCGAGUUCCCUGGAACGGGACGCCAUAGAGGGUGAGAGCCCCGUCUGGUUGGAUACCAAGCCUUUGUAAAGCUCCUUCGACGAGUCGAGUAGUUUGGGAAUGCUGCUCUAAAUGGGAGGUAUAUGUCUUCUAAAGCUAAAUACCGGCCAGAGACCGAUAGCGCACAAGUAGAGUGAUCGAAAGAUGAAAAGCACUUUGGAAAGAGAGUUAAACAGCACGUGAAAUUGUUAAAAGGGAAGCGUUUAUGACCAGACUUGGGCCGGUUAAUCAUCCAGCGUUCUCGCUGGUGCACUUUGCCGGUCCAGGCCAGCAUCAGUUCGCUGCGGGGGAUAAAGGCGUCGGGAAUGUGGCUCCUCCGGAGUGUUAUAGCCCUUCGCGCAAUACCCUGCGGUGGACUGAGGUUCGCGCAUCUGCAAGGAUGCUGGCGUAAUGGUCAUCAACGACCCGUCUUGAAACACGGACCAAGGAGUCGUCUUCGUAUGCGAGUGUUCGGGUGUAAAACCCCUACGCGUAAUGAAAGUGAACGCAGGUGAGAGCUUCGGCGCAUCAUCGACCGAUCCUGAUGUUCUCGGAUGGAUUUGAGUAAGAGCAUACGGGGCCGGACCCGAAAGAAGGUGAACUAUGCCUGUAUAGGGUGAAGCCAGAGGAACUCUGGUGGAGGCUCGCAGCGGUUCUGACGUGCAAAUCGAUCGUCAAAUAUGGGCAUGGGGGCGAAAGACUAAU